CGAGCCCGCGGCCCCCGCCCGGGGCGAUGGAACCGGAGCCCGGCGGGGUGGCCGCUGCGCUCCUGCGGCAGAAGAGGGCGGCGCUGCGGCGCAGGGGGUGCAGCUUCGAGAGCCCAAGUGAGGGUGAAAAUCUCACUGGACUGGCUUCAAGAGAUAAUGAGAGGAGAUGAUUGGAAACAACGACUACAGUCAACUCUUUGCACAGGUGGAGGGAAUGUG
rnacentral:lncRNA from 10 species